rnacentral:rRNA from 1 species
UACGAAGGGGGCUAGCGUUGUUCGGAAUCACUGGGCGUAAAGCGCACGUAGGCGGAUCUUUAAGUCAGGGGUGAAAUCCUGGAGCUCAACUCCAGAGCUGCCUUUGAUACUGAGAAGCUUGAGUCCGGGAGAGGUGAGUGGAACUGCGAGUGUAGAGGUGAAAUUCGUAGAUAUUGGGAAGAACACCGGUGGCGAAGGCGGCUAUCUGGACCGACAUUGACGCUGAUGCGCGAAAGCGUGGGGAGCAAACAGG